rnacentral:tRNA from 1 species
CGCGGGAUGGAGCAGUCUGGUAGCUCGUCGGGCUCAUAACCCGGAGGUCGCUGGUUCAAAUCCAGCUCCCGCAACCA